ACAUCAACAUCUAUAUUUCACAGUCCAUACUAAUUAAGUAUCUUGGUUUAUAUAUAUACACCGACGCAUAUAGAAAUUAGUAGACUAAUAAUAAGCAUCUUUAUAAACACACAGUGUUUGAUAAAUGGCAAAAUUAAAGAUGGCAAACUUGUUCACACUUUUCCUUUUGCUUUCAGUGACGGGUGAAGUGGAUGUGGGUAGAAUGAGAAGUUGUCGCGAUGAUAACUGGCAUGGCUUUAACUGCGAAAUUGAAACUGCUUGCUACGAGCAUUGUAAGAAGUACAAAGGAGAUUCUGUGUUAUUCUCGUCACUUUGUAUAGGCCCUCACAAUUGUAAUUGCCAUUAUUGGUGCCUACCACGAGGGGAGAAAAUAUAAUAAUAAUACCAAAAAUUCUCAAGGGUCA